AGGAUGAACGCUGGCGGCGUGCCUAAGACAUGCAAGUCGAGUGGGUUUAGGCCCACGGCGAACGGGUGAGUAAUACCUAGGAACUUUUUUCAAGUCGAGGAUAUCCUUCCGAAAGGAAGUGCAAUACUUGAUGUGGCAGCAAUGCUAAAGGAGCAAUCCGCUUGAAGCGAGGCCUGGGCACCAUCAGCUAGUUGGUAAGGUAAUGGCUUACCAAGACUUUGACGGUUAGCGGAUCUGAGAGGAUGGCCCGCCACACUGGGACUGCGACACGGCCCAGACUCCUACGGGAGGCAGCAGUUUGGAAUUUGGUCAAUGGGGAAACCCUGAACCAGCGACGCCGCGUGGACGAAGAAGGCCUUCGGGUCGUAAAGUCCUUUAGCAGGGAAAAUUUUGAUUGUACCUGCAGAAUAAGAGGUUGCUAACUCUGUGCCAGCAGCCGC
rnacentral:rRNA from 1 species